rnacentral:rRNA from 1 species
UUGCUCAAUGGGAGAAAUCCUGAAGCAGCAACGCCGCGUGGAGGAUGAAGGGUCUAUGACUUGUAAACUCCUGUAAAGAAGGAAAAAAUUCCCAUUUGAUGGGAGAUGAUGGUACUUCUGGAGUAAGCCCCGGCUAACUACGUGCCAGCAGCCGCGGUAAUACGUAGGGGGCAAGCGUUGUCCGGAUUUACUGGGUGUAAAGGGUGCUCAGGCGGAUUUGGAAGUCAGAGGUGAAAUCUUACAGCUUAACUGUGAAACUGCCUUUGAUACUGGAAGCAUGGAGUAGGGAAGAGAGUGAUGGAAUAUCUGGUGUAGCAGUGAAAUGCGUAGAUAUCAGAUAGAACACCAAUGGCGAAGGCAGUCACUUAGUCCAUUACUGACGCUAAAGCACGAAAGCGUGGGUAGCAAACA